rnacentral:rRNA from 1 species
GAUGAACGCUAGCUACAGGCUUAACACAUGCAAGUCGAGGGGAAACGGCAUCGAAAGCUUGCUUUUGAUGGGCGUCGACCGGCGCACGGGUGAGUAACGCGUAUCCAACCUGCCCAUCACUUGGGAAUAACCUUGCGAAAGUAAGACUAAUGCCCAAUGACAUCCCACGAAGGCAUCCGAAUGGGAUUAAAGAUUUAUCGGUGAUGGAUGGGGAUGCGUCUGAUUAGCUUGUUGGCGGGGUGACGGCCCACCAAGGCAACGAUCAGUAGGGGUUCUGAGAGGAAGGUCCCCCACAUUGGAACUGAGACACGGUCCAAACUCCUACGGGAGGCAGCAGUGAGGAAUAUUGGUUAAUGGGCGAGAGCCUGAACCAGCCAAGUAGCGUGCAGGAUGACGGCCCUAUGGGUUGUAAACUGCUUUUAUAAGGGAAUAAAGUGGGUCACGUGUGACUUUUUGCAUGUACCUUAUGAAUAAGGACCGGCUAAUUCCGUG